rnacentral:rRNA from 1 species
AUUGAACGCUGGCGGCAGGCCUAACACAUGCAAGUCGAACGGUAACAGGAAGCAGCUUGCUGCUUUGCUGACGAGUGGCGGACGGGUGAGUAAUGUCUGGGAAACUGCCUGAUGGAGGGGGAUAACUACUGGAAACGGUAGCUAAUACCGCAUAACGUCGCAAGACCAAAGAGGGGGACCUUCGGGCCUCUUGCCAUCGGAUGUGCCCAGAUGGGAUUAGCUAGUAGGUGGGGUAAAGGCUCACCUAGGCGACGAUCCCUAGCUGGUCUGAGAGGAUGACCAGCCACACUGGAACUGAGACACGGUCCAGACUCCUACGGGAGGCAGCAGUGGGGAAUAUUGCACAAUGGGCGCAAGCCUGAGGCAGCCAUGCCGCGUGUAUGAAGAAGGCCUUCGGGUUGUAAAGUACUUUCAGCGGGGAGGAAGGGAGUAAAGUUAAUACCUUUGCUCAUUGACGUUACCCGCAGAAGAAGCACCGGCUAACUCCGU